rnacentral:rRNA from 1 species
UGGCUAACUCCGUGCCAGCAGCCGCGGUAAUACGGAGAGGGCUAGCGUUAUUCGGAAUUAUUGGGCGUAAAGGGCGCGUAGGCGGAUUAAUAAGUUAAAAGUGAAAUCCCAAGGCUCAACCUUGGAAUUGCUUUUAAAACUGUUAAUCUAGAGAUUGAAAGAGGAUAGAGGAAUUCCUAAUGUAGAGGUGAAAUUCGUAAAUAUUAGGAGGAACACCAGUGGCGAAGGCGUCUAUCUGGUUCAAAUCUG